rnacentral:rRNA from 1 species
AGAGUUUGAUCCUGGCUCAGAGCGAACGCUGGCGGCAGGCCUAACACAUGCAAGUCGAACGGAUCCUUCGGGAUUAGUGGCGGACGGGUGAGUAACACGUGGGAACGUGCCCUUUGGUUCGGAACAACUCAGGGAAACUUGAGCUAAUACCGGAUGUGCCCUUCGGGGGAAAGAUUUAUCGCCAUUGGAGCGGCCCGCGUCUGAUUAGCUAGUUGGUGGGGUAAAGGCCCACCAAGGCGACGAUCAGUAGCUGGUCUGAGAGGAUGAUCAGCCACAUUGGGACUGAGACACGGCCCAAACUCCUACGGGAGGCAGCAGUGGGGAAUCUUGCGCAAUGGGCGAAAGCCUGACGCAGCCAUGCCGCGUGAAUGAUGAAGGUCUUAGGAUUGUAAAAUUCUUUCACCGGGGACGAUAAUGACGGCACCCGGAGAAGAAGCCCCGGCUAACUUCGUGCCAGCAGCCGCGGUAAUACGAAGGGGGCUAGCGUUGCUCGGAAUUACUGGGCGUAAAGGGAGCGUAGGCGGACUGUUAAGUUAGAGGUGAAAGCCCAGGGCUCAACCUUGGAAUUGCCUUUGAUACUGGCAGUCUUGAGUACGGAAGAGGUAUGUGGAACUCCGAGUGUAGAGGUGAAAUUCGUAGAUAUUCGGAAGAACACCAGUGGCGAAGGCGACAUACUGGUCCGUUACUGACGCU